rnacentral:lncRNA from 8 species
CCACGUCACUGUCUCUCUACCUCCUCUCCUCUCUCUGUCUAUGUAUCUGUCUGUCUUUUAGGGGACUGCUGAAAUUCCAGGUCUGAAGGGGGCUCCAGGUGGCACAGUAAGAUAGUAUAUAAUUAUUAUCUUGUUUAUUAAACAGGAGUGACAUUUUUAGAGAGGAGUGAGGCUCUAUUCUAUGAAUCCUAUCUGAGCAGAUCUGACUUUUCCUAUAGGGCUUCAGAGGACUAGAUGGAGACAAAGGAGAUGCUGGACCCAAAGGAGACAGGGGUUCUGUUGGUGCGUCAGGGAUCCUAGGCCGUCAGGGUGAGAGGGGUCAGAGUGGCCUCUCAGGCCUUCCUGGUGUCAGAGGUCAAGCUGGCCCCCAAGACAUUCCGGGUGAAGACGGAGAGGUCGGCCUCCAGGGAGUGGUUGGAAAGGAGGGGUCAAAGGUCAGCAGAGUUUAUCACUGUCUGGUGGAGUGAUUACAACAAACUAGAAUUACUUUUUUUUUCCUGAGGGAACAACUAGAGCUCUUCUGUUAGACCUCUCCUUUGUUCUAGUCUACAUGCAGCUGC